AUUGAACGCUGGCGGCAUGCCUAACACAUGCAAGUCGAACGGGUGGAGGACGGGUGAGUGAUGUCUGGGAAACUGCCCGAUGGAGGGGGAUAACUGCUGGAAACGGUAGCUAAUACCGCAUACCAUCCUUUCUGCCCAGAGGGGAUUAGCUAGUAGGUGGGGUAACGGCUCACCUAGGCGACGAUGCCUAGCUGGUCUGAGAGGAUGAUCAGCCACACUGGAACUGAGACACGGUCCAGACUCCUACGGGAGGCAGCAGUGGGGAAUAUUCCACAAUGGGCGCAAGUCUGAUGCAGCAACGCCGCGUGUAUGAAGAAGGCCGUCGGGUUGUAAAGUACUUUCAGCAAGGAGGCGUUACUCGCAGAAGAAGCACCGGCUAACUCCGUGCCAGCAGCCGCGGUAAUUC
rnacentral:rRNA from 1 species